GUCACUUAACCAACUUCUACAGUCUUGUUGAGGAAGACUGGCUUUCUUGUUUUUAAAGAAAUUAACAAUGAAAAAGGUGACUGGGCUGACUUAAAUUUUUGAAUUUCCCUUUCCCCCUCAUUGUAUGGAAUCAAUAAUUUUGUUUUACAUUUUCUAAAGGUGAAAAUGGCCAUCUCAUGAGAAGAGAAGACUCCCUGGAAAAGACCCUGAUGCUGGGAAAGAUGGAGGGCACAAGGAGAAGGGGACGACAGAGGAUGAGAUGGUUGGACAGUGUUCUCGAAGCUACCAGCAUGAGUUUGACCAAACUGCGGGAGGCAGUGGAGGACAGGAGUGCCUGGCGUGCUCUGGUCCAGGGGGUCACAAAGAGUCGGACACGAUUAAACGACUAAACAACAACAACAACAAAGGUGAAGAUCCUGAGACUAUAAGAAGAUCCCUGUUGGAUCAGGCCAAUGGCCCAUCUAGUCCAACAUCCUCCUCUCACAGUAGCC